CCAAAGCGAACAGACCUAUUUGGAAGUAAGGAGGGAGAUGCACUUAGAAGACACCACCAGAUUCUGUCCAAAGGAAGAAAGAGAAAGUGAACAAACGUCUUUCAGCGAUCAAAACCCCAGGCAAGACCAGAAAGGGGGCUUUCGCAGCUCCUUCCGCAAGCUCUUUAAAAAGAAGGGCUUGUUUGGCUGGUGGCCCCACACACCCAGAAUGCUGCUUCGGGAUGAAGCUAGGCAUGGAGCCAGAUGCAACAGAAAACCUGGGAAAGGGUUCUCUUCCCUCUGAGGCUGGGAGGGCCGGAUGCUCAUACCCACAAGGAUUCAAAAGGGAGAGUCAAGUUGACAUCUUUAAAAAAAUCCUGAAAAAUACCCAAGACACUUGGGGAAAAGAAUGAUCCCCUGUUUCUAUCUCAGGCACAUCUGUCCUGGGUAGAUAGACACCAGGUCAUAUGUCUCUGAAAGCUGUCCAGAAUUAAUCAGAAGAAAGACUACAUAUCUUAACGUUUGAAAAGGUUAAGUGACUUUAAAGUUUUAAAUGAGGAGUCUUAGAAGCCAGGAGCAGACCUAGUGUGAUAGGCUGAUGCUGGACUGAAUCCUUAACCCCCUGCCUUUGAGAGGAUGGGAGGCAAACUAUCCCAUUCUAGAAGGAUCUAUAUGGAGGUUGUCAAAGACUCAAGUGUAGACUAUCCUGAAGUCUCAGGCAAAUGUUACUUCAUAUUUGUAUAUAAAUCUUACACUUAGGUUAAUAAGAAUUCUUGGUUUGGGGUGUGACAUAGGGGAAGAGGAUUAUGUAAGACAGUUUAAGAAAUACAAAUGCUCUUCCUUUUUAUCCUCAAAUCUGGGAGCAGUGGAAGAUAAACAAUACGACUUCCAAAUACUUAAUUCUACUUCUUCUCUCAUUCUGUUCUUCUUUAGCACUUUAUAACUUACACACCUCAGAGUAGCUCCUUCCCAGUCAUUACCCUCCCUCCACCAAUCACAUCAAAUAUUUCCAGUCUGAAUCACACACAGAGAGAGUAGUUCUGCAGGGCCCCAUAUAAUUGAGUAUCUGAAUCCUCUUCUUUUGGUGUCUUAUCAGCUGUUUAUGCAUAUGCCCAGUCGUGGCUGUGGGACAGACCAUGUAAUAGAAUACAGGACUACUAAAGAAUCAAUUGAUAAUUUUACCCUCACCUUCUUUACUUCGUAAAGCCUAAUCUCAUGUCCUUUCCACACUCAUACUUAGUUUGGGGUUCUUUCUCAUUUCCUAUUGUAUUUCCCAAUAUAACUUUAAAAUUGAAGGAGAUAGUUGAAGGGAUGACAUUGUACAUUAUUCAAACCUUAUGUGUUUCUCAAUAGGUCAUUUGAAAUCAAUCCCUAAGUUAAGGAUCUUUAGUGUACUAAGUUCUGUUUAGCACAAAAGAAGUAAAAGAGAUAGUUGCAGUCCAUUAAGAGCUUACAGCCAAAUGUAAGGGUAACCCAGCUGCAAGGUUGAAAGAUAGUAAGCACUCAGCAAACAUGUAGUAAGCGAGAGCUCAUUUGUCAGUCACCUUGUUGAUUACUAGGAGACAUGCCCUUACUUCUCCAGGGACAUGGCUCCUAAAGCUUUCAAAGUGGACAGUCUUUCCAAUCAGAAAACCAGCCCUUCUUAGGUUAGAGGGUGGUUCUAUGCCCCAGAUUCCACCCCCUCCUCCCUUCCCCAGCUCCAAACUUUCAAGGUUUAUUUGUAGCAAAUUUAACUUGGAUGGUUAGGUGUCAGAAUGUACUGGCAGUGUUGUACCCUUACCCAGCAAGUGUUUGCCUGCCUGUGUCUUCAGUGCCUGCUCAGAUCUGCCCUGUACUCAACUGCCAUGGCUCCAGGAGCUCCAAAGCCAUUGCUCGUUUAUAGAGAAAGGGAGUAAAAGCAAAUACUCUGGCCCUUUCUUCUCAGCCUGCAGGUGAUUUCCAAGUAAUUUAGGUCAAUAUCACUUCAGAGCCUAACAGCCACACCUUUGGAAGAGUCCAGCUGUUGAAGUGGCCACAUGCCAUGUACGCAGUAUAGAGGUCAGUUAAAAUUGUCUUUAAAAAGGAUGAAAAUGAGCUUUUAGUCAUGGCUACAGUGGAUGCUAGAUUUUUAAAGGAUUAGCAAGUUAGCCAUUAGUUAAUUAAUAGUUAAUGUCAAGAAGCACAGAGAAAUUCACAAACCUGGAGACACACAGAGGUUGUUAAUGAGAAGAGCAGUUAAAAAAGAAAAAACUAAGCUGAGUUCAUGGACUUUGAAAACUAGACAGGGCGAUUUUGGCAUUUGUUUCAGAAAUGGGAACGCAUCUGGUGAAGAUUUCUGUGGUCCUUGGGGCUGGUGGUGACAUCAAAGCUUUCCCAUUUCCAGGUAAACACUAAAUAGUUGCAUGUUAGAACCAUCAAAUAUGACAUGUUGGGUUUUGGAGAGAUCAGAUAUAGCCAAGGGGAAAUGUGAGGUAGAGAUUGCAAGUUUUGACUAAUGACAUUCUGAUGAGAAACUGCCAUGAUAGGGGAACAAUUCAGGAAAAAACACCAGCCAGAUUCAAAUCUUGCUUCCUACUUUCUGUCCCCAAAACUUAAUAGGCAUUCCCUAGUCUUCUGGAUAAUAGACGAUAUGGGGGAAAGAAUGAAAUGGUCCAUAUCUUCCUAACAUUUUGGACACAACUGUACUUGUCAGGGAUGACUUGAAUUGGAGGCAGGUGGGAGUUCUGAGAGGCGAGAGAAGGCCAGGAGUUCUACUAGUAGGGCGGGCUUGUGGAGGCUGUUUCAAGGGAGAAUUCCAAGGGGGCUCCUGGAAAGGAAGAGGACUUCCACCCCACCCUGAUACCAUCUUAUCUGAUGACUGCCCAGGGGCACUUGGGUUGAGAGAGAGAGUAGUUUUUCUUCUAUGCCUUGGGAUGUGGUAGGAAAGUGCUCCUUACAGACCAGAGGUAGAAAGCAUGCUGGGCAUGUGUGGCUUCAUCUGUAAUACCAACUACCAGGGUGAAAAGUAAAAAUAUCUACUCAUCAGGUUUCCAGACAUGAGGAUUUUAUUCUUUGUGUGGAUCUAACUUCCUUCCUUUAAUAAAGUAAAAAGGGUGUUUGAAUUCUGCCCAGUCAUUUCAGUAAAUGACAGUCAUAAUGAGCUUAUCUAAUAACAACAAUGAGGACUCAUAGUAUACUGAUGGCAGGAAAAGGACUUUUCUCUGUGGGUAGUGGAAGCAUGCCUGACUCUGCCUCCACACAUGGAGAACUUGUUUAGUUGUGUAGGAGCUUUGGACAGAGAACUUCAUGUCUAACAUCACUUUCAUACAUCCUACAUGAGGUCUUUAAGAUACUGGUUUCUAGUCGUUGGGCUAGUUUUACCUAUUCUAGCUCAGAGUUUAAGCUAGCCAAAGGGCCCCAGCCUAGCUUAUCAGAGGUUUUCCAGAAAGCCUCCUCCCUCCAGGGACUUCUGACAUGAACAAACUGGAGAAGGUUGCAGAGCUGGACUGGAUUACCCAACUGGCUUAACCAAGAUAAAGGAAGAAUGCACCCUGGACUGGGGACUCAAUUGGACUGAUCUGAGUUGUUGACUAUUGAUUUGGCUUGGUCUCCUUCGUGGUGGUUGAGAUUACAGAAUCUCCUCAAUCUGAUUACUGUACCAAUUUCUGCAUUCUACCAAAUGUAGCAUAUAUGUGUGGUUGGUUUCAAUAAAUCUUUUAUUCAAAAAUGAAAACCAGUAAAAGCAAGAGUUUGUAAUGUAAUGCCCAAGUUCAGUAAAGACCCUUGAUAACCUUGGUUGAGAACAAUGAAUUCCAUCCAUUUUAAUUUAAGGGCCUUACUUGUU